rnacentral:rRNA from 1 species
UACGAAGGGGGGCUAGCGUUGCUCGGAAUUACUGGGCGUAAAGGGCGCGUAGGCGGCACUGUUAGUCAGGCGUGAAAGUCCUGGGCUCAACCUGGGAACUGCGUUUUGAUACGGUGUGGCUAGAGUUCGGGAGAGGAGAGUGGAAUUCCCAGUGUAGAGGUGAAAUUCGUAGAUAUUUGGGAAGAACACCGGUGGCGAAGGCGGCUCUCUGGACCGAUACUGACGCUGAGGAGCGAAAAGCGUGGGGAGCGAACAGG